GGAUUAGAUACCCUGGUAGUCCUAGCUGUAAACGAUGGAUACUAGACGUAGGAAUUGGAUUAACGAUUUCUGUGUCGUAGCUAACGCGUUAAGUAUCCCGCCUGGGGAGUACGGCCGCAAGGCUAAAACUCAAAUGAAUUGACGGGGACCCGCACAAGCGGUGGAGCAUGUGGUUUAAUUCGAUGCAACGCGAAAAACCUUACCUACUCUUGACAUACUUGGAAGCUCUUGUAAUGAGAGUGUGCCUUUUGGAACCAAGAUACAGGUGCUGCAUGGCUGUCGUCAGCUCGUGCCG
rnacentral:rRNA from 1 species